ACUCCUACGGGAGGCAGCAGUGGGGAAUAUUGGACAAUGGGCGAAAGCCUGAUCCAGCAAUACCGCGUGUGUGAAGAAGGCCUGAGGGUUGUAAAGCACUUUCAAUAGGGAGGAAAACAGGCAGAGAUAAUAUUCUGUCUCUUGACAUUACCUAUAGAAGAAGCACCGGCUAACUCCGUGCCAGCAGCCGCGGUAAUACGGAGGGUGCAAGCGUUAAUCGGAAUUACUGGGCGUAAAGCGUUCGUAGGCGGUUAUUUAAGUUAGAUGUGAAAGCCCCGGGCUUAACCUGGGAACUGCAUUUAAAACUGGGUAACUAGAGUUUAGGAGAGGGAAGUGGAAUUUCAGGUGUAGCAGUGAAAUGCGUAGAGAUCUGAAGGAACACCAGUGGCGAAGGCGACUUCCUGGACUAAAACCGACGCUGAGGAGCGAAAGCGUGGGUAGCAAACGGGAUUAGAUACCCCGGUAGUCCACGCCGUAAACGAUGUCAACUAGCCGUUGGGCCUAUAUACAGGUUUAGUGGCGGAGCUAACGUAUUAAGUUGACCGCCUGGGGAGUACGGCCGCAAGGUUAAAACUCAAAUGAAUUGACGGGGGCCCGCACAAGCGGUGGAGCAUGUGGGUUUAAUUCGAUGCAACGCGAAAGAACCUUACCUACCCUUGACAUCCANAGAGUCUGUUAGAGAUAGUAGAGUGCCUUCGGGAACUCUGAGGCAGGUGCUGCAUGGCUGUCNUCAGCUCGUGUCGUGGGGAUGUUGGGGUUAA
rnacentral:rRNA from 1 species